UCUCCCUCAUGGUCUCUUGCUUUCUCUCCCUCUCUCUUUCUCUCUCUCUCUCUCUUCUACCCUCUCUCCCUCUACCUCGCUCUCUUCUGUGCCUUAAGUUCAUUCGCUGUGUCAAGCAACAACUGGCUCGGGAGUGAGAAGUGGGCUUUUGAUCCUCUUUAUCGAGCAUCCCGGUGAGGAUGCUGCAUCCGCAUCCACCUGUACACCCUGGGACUGCCUCGCUGCCUCGUCGCCUUUUUCUCUCUCACUCUCUCUCUUUCUCUCUCUCUUUCUCUCUCUGUGGCUCUUUAACUGUAUCGAAAGCACUGCGGAGAGCUGGUGCUCUGCUAUCCUGACCGUAUCACAGGCAGAAAUCUCACGCCGCAGAUGCUCUGCAGGAGACAGACUCUGGAUCUGAGUGCUGGGAGGCAGGAGCGAUUCAGUGGGAUUUUUUUGUGUACGAUGUCGAGAUGGGGAGCAUCUCAUGCGCUGGUGCUGGAGGAACACAGCAUGAGCCGGGUGUUUAAAACCUCACCGGUCCAGAAAGACCAUUGAUGGGGCCUUGCCUUGUGCCGCAAAUCAUCUUCAAUCAAUUGUUUUGAAAGGCCUUAGCGUUUGCCAAACGGCUGAGGACAAUGCUUGCGAUUCCGCUAUUGCUUUCUCCUUAGAAAGACUCUCUUCGGUGACGGGUAUUCUUGGGUGGAUAAUACGGAUCACGUUGUUAUUGCUUAAGAAUACGCGUAGUCGAGGAGAGUCAUGUCGGCGGUGACGGCAGGGGACUAGAGAGAGCACAGAGGCCAAAGAGCCCACCUGCCCACCACACACACACACACACACACACACACACACACACACACACACACACACACAAUACCAAAGCUAACACUCAGGUCACUGAACAAGCAAGAUCACAGACAGAUCUUGUGUUUAUUUGUGUGAUAUAUAUUUGUGUUUUUUGAGUCUCUAUAGAUGGGGCUUGUUCACCAUGUAGCCUUAUUCCUUUUGGGAAAAUGAAUAUCUGUUUGCUGAAAAAGAAUUAUUUGAAAUUACCAUUUGCACUUGUGUUUUACCCAGCUUUUUUUUUUUUUUAGAACUGUACAUAAACCUAUAAACCUACAUUUUAUGUUUGAUUCCUAGCAAUGUUCUUAUCCCUGUGUGUAUUGGUACAAGAAGUAGCAUAAUCAUAGUAGAUAUGCAGCUUUCUAGAAGGCAAUGUACAUAGUCUACGGCGUUUAUUAUCCGUCCUUAGGACCACACACUCUUCACUUUCCACUCCACCCUUUUUCAUGCAAAUUGAUUUUAGAAAUGACAUUUAUCGUGCAGGGGUUCCAUGCGGAAGCCUGCCGCACCACGAGGGCUGACAAAAAAAAAUGUCCACCAUGCCAACGACAGCUCAAUUUUAUGCGCCGAGGAAGCGUGAGUGGAAGAGAACACACAGCAGAUAAACAAUUACCACAGCCUUAGAUUGAGUAGAGCUCUGCUUUCUAUGUAGCCGACACAUAUCAUGAAUAUGUAUCAGUCACCGCAUAUGAUGGUGCAUUCGAAAGUCUAACAUCCAUGAAAAUCCAUUUAAGCAGCAUAAUAGGAUCUACUUGAUCUACUUGACAUGCUAAAUCUUAUAAAUAUACAUGAGAUUAUUAUAUAUUUUUUGGGGGGGGAAGGAAUGUAUUUUUCCUUAUUUUUAAAUAUUAUGUGAAAGAAUAAAAAAGGAUAUUCAGGGAGGAGUAAAAAUGUGGAUGUAUUAACAGGGAGGUUUUAAAAAAAAAUCAGCAAACAGUCCAAUUUACUGUUAAUUAUCAUUAAGCACAUUGAAAUGACACAUUAGCAUUUCAGGCAGACUAAAGAAAACAAUUCAGUGGCUCUCCUCUUGAUCACCCUGUAAUUAUCAUUCUUUUGGCUGUGCUUUAAUGAACAGAGAGUGGUGGAAAAGCUUGUAAGUACAUGUUAUGGCCUUUUACCACUAGGGUACCCACACAACUGAAAAAUUACAUGUCUGAUUCACUAUAUUUUCUGCUUCCUGACAUAAGUAUAGGUUUGUUCUAAGAGGGGAUGUUAAUUAAUUGUAAACGGCUUUAUUUAACUAAACAUGAGAUUCGCUCUUUUUUUUUCUUUUUACACAUUUGUGUCAUUUACUGAAAAAAAAUACAGUGUUUCAUUACAUGCUCUUUUAGUACAUUAACUAUUUAAGGGAGCAUGAAUAAACACGUAAUGUAUUUUCAGCUAAAUUUUCAAUAUAUAAACAAAUCUUUGUGACUGUAAUAUCUAACAGAAAUAAUAUAUUAUUGUAGCUCUAAUAAUAUAUUAUUAGCUCUUUUUUUUUUUACACAAUUAUUAAUCUCUUACUAUAAAUACCCCAAGCAUACAGUAUUUAAUAAAUUAAUUUUGAAAGAAUAAAUCCUAAUAUUCCCAAAUUAAAAGAAUAUAACAGCAUGCAGGCUACAACAACAGACAACAAAAAGCCCUGAGCAAGAGUCCCCUCCCCCUAAACCUCUGUAAUUUCCUUCUUUUAUUGAUUAUCAGUCCUAGUGAUUGUUUUCUUUAUAAUUGUCAUUAUAGCAUAUUUACUUACAUUUAUCAGAAAUUUUCUCUACUGGAAACAAAAAAAAAAACAUUAUUUAAAGAAUAUGCAUUUUACUACUAUGGUGUAAUUUACAUUACAAUUUAAUUGUUUUAAUAGGAACAUUUUGCUUGUAAAGAAAUGAGAUUUGAUUGAAUAUUGUUGAUAAAUAACCUCAUUAAGAAGUGUAAUGAUAUCACUUGGCCUCUUUUCGUUAUUCAAAUGACCUCAGUCUGACUGCACUUUUUCAAACACUGUGUUUAUAUACCGCAAGAAUCCUCAAACAGAAUGUACGUUCAUGAAGUUUUUGCUUCAAAUUUAUGUUUUAUAUAUUUUCCUGCUUUCAUCAAUAAAGCUGUA